AUUGAACGCUGGCGGCAUGCCUUACACAUGCAAGUCGAACGGUAACAGGUUAAGCUGACGAGUGGCGAACGGGUGAGUAAUGUAUCGGAACGUGCCCAGUCGUGGGGGAUAACUACUCGAAAGUGUGGCUAAUACCGCAUACGACCUGAGGGUGAAAGCGGGGGACCGUAAGGCCUCGCGCGACUGGAGCGGCCGAUAUCAGAUUAGCUAGUUGGUGGGGUAAAAGCCCACCAAGGCGACGAUCUGUAGCUGGUCUGAGAGGACGACCGAGCCACACUGGGACUGAGACACGGCCCAGACUCCUACGGGAGGCAGCAGUGGGGAAUUUUGGACAAUGGACGCAAGUCUGAUCCAGCCAUGCCGCGUGCGGGAAGAAGGCCUUCGGGUUGUAAACCGCUUUUGUCAGGGAAGAAACGAGUUUCUCUAAUACAGAGACUUAAUGACGGUACCUGAAGAAUAAGCACCGGCUAACUACGUGCCAGCCGCCGCCGUAAGAC
rnacentral:rRNA from 1 species